rnacentral:lncRNA from 1 species
GGGUGUAUUCCUGUUAUGAUUCCGUAUUCAAUGUUCCGUGUUCCGUGUUCCAUGUUUAUUACGAAUAUGUGUGUUUUCCUCUGCUGUAUAUUCCUGCAUUCUUGCUUUACUCUGUUUUAUAUUCCUUAUGGGUGCCGUAUCUAUGUUACGUCAUCUGCUUCUGUGCUGUACUAUGUGUUUGUGUGAUAUCUCGUGACUUGAGCCGGGGGUCUUUCGGAAACAGCCUUUCUACUUCAUCAGAGGUAGAGGUAUGGACUGCGUACAUCUUACCCCCCCAGACCCCACUAAGUGGGAAUACACUGGGUUUGUUGUUGUUGUUGUUGUUGA